UACGUAGGGUGCAAGCGUUAAUCGGAAUUACUGGGCGUAAAGCGUGCGCAGGCGGUUGUGCAAGACAGAUGUGAAAUCCCCGGGCUCAACCUGGGAAUUGCAUUUGUGACUGCACGGCUAGAGUGUGUCAGAGGGGGGUAGAAUUCCACGUGUAGCAGUGAAAUGCGUAGAGAUGUGGAGGAAUACCGAUGGCGAAGGCAGCCUCCUGGGCCAAUACUGACGCUCAUGCACGAAAGCGUGGGGAGCAAACAGG
rnacentral:rRNA from 1 species